CAACCCUCAAACCCUCCGGUUUGGUGUUGGAGAUCGGCAUGAGUCCUUCGGGGCAACGCCGUCUCCCAAAUAUAGUGGCGGUCUCGCUGUAGCUUCCUAUGCGUAGUAGCACACCUCGCACUGGAAAGCAGCGCGGCCACGCCGUUAAACCCCCCACUUUCUGAA
rnacentral:misc_RNA from 1 species